GGUCUUGGCUUAAUGAUAGAACAUCUGAUUUGCAUUCAGAAGGUCUCAGGUUCAAUCCAAGUAGGAGCCA